rnacentral:rRNA from 1 species
CCUACGGGGGGCAGCAAUUAGGAAUCUUGCGCAAUGGGGGAAACCCUGAUCCAGCCAUUCCGCGUGAGUGAAGAAGGCCUUCGGGUUGUAAAGCUCUUUCGGCAGGAACGAAACGGCGGACUCUAACAUAGUCUGUCAAUGACGGUACCUGAAGAAGAAGCACCGGCUAACUACGUGCCAGCAGCCGCGGUAAUACGUAGGGUGCGAGCGUUAAUCGGAAUUACUGGGCGUAAAGCGUGCGCAGGCGGCUUUGUAAGACGGAGGUAAAAUCCCUGGGCUUAACCUAGGAACUGCGUUCGUGACUGCAAGGCUAGAGGGCGGCAGAGGGGGGUGGAAUUCCUGGUGUAGAAGUGAAAUGCGUAGAGAUCAGGAGGAACACCGAUGGCGAAGGCAGCCCCCUGGGUUGACACUGACGCUCAUGCACGAAAGCGUGGGGAGCAAACAGGAUUAGAUACCCCUGUAGU